rnacentral:rRNA from 1 species
AACGAACGCUGGCGGCAUGCCUAACACAUGCAAGUCGAACGAGACCUUCGGGUCUAGUGGCGCACGGGUGCGUAACGCGUGGGAACCUGCCCUUAGGUUCGGAAUAACUCCCCGAAAGGGGUGCUAAUACCGGAUAAUGUCUUAGGACCAAAGAUUUAUCGCCUUUGGAUGGGCCCGCGUUGGAUUAGCUAGUUGGUGGGGUAAAGGCCUACCAAGGCGACGAUCCAUAGCUGGUCUGAGAGGAUGAUCAGCCACACUGGGACUGAGACACGGCCCAGACUCCUACGGGAGGCAGCAGUGGGGAAUAUUGGACAAUGGGCGAAAGCCUGAUCCAGCAAUGCCGCGUGAGUGAUGAAGGCCUUAGGGUUGUAAAGCUCUUUUACCCGGGAUGAUAAUGACGGUACCGGGAGAAUAAGCUCCGGCUAACUCCGUG